rnacentral:lncRNA from 1 species
GAGGAUGAUAGUGUUAUUUUGAUGAUUAACAAGCAAUUAUCUAGAGUAUAUUAUAAGUUAAAUUGAUACUUCAUUUAUAAGUUCAUUACUCUCAGUAUAUUUGUAUGAUUGAUAAUAGAUACAUGGCUUUGUUCAUUUGAAUCAAUCUAACCUUGAGAAUGCAGCAAAGUGUGGAUUGAGUCGACCCAAAGGUUGAUUGGGUCGACCCCGGCACCUCAAGAAAUCAUUUGGCACACUCCUGCAAAAAUGGCACAGAUGAACAGUGAGUUGGGUCGACCCAAGGUAAGCAUGAGUCGACCCAAA